rnacentral:rRNA from 1 species
UACGUAGGGUCCGAGCGUUGUCCGGAGUGACUGGGCGUAAAGCGCGCGCAGGCGGCCCUGUAGGCGCGACGUGAAAGCCCCGGGCUCAACCCGGGAGGGUCGUCGCGAACCGCGGGGCUUGAGGCCGGUAGAGGUGGGUGGAACUCCUGGUGGAGUGGUGAAAUGCGUAGAGAUCAGGAAGAACACCCGUGGCGAAGGCGGCCCACUGGGCCGGUGCUGACGCUGAGGCGCGAAGGCGUGGGGAGCGAACGGG